UGCAAGCACCCUUAUCAAUAACUCUAUGAUACAUAUUCAUGGAGAAAAACGAGAAAACAAAACAGUUGUCUACAAAACACUACAUAGAAAACUAAAGACUGAGCAACACGAACACCGUAGAAAUGUAGGGGUGUUACACAGAUAAUGCCUUUUAAUUGGCACCCUCUGUAUUGCUCAGGGUAAGAAAAGAUGAAUGAAGAUAACAGAAAUAAACC
rnacentral:lncRNA from 1 species